AGCCACGGUAAUACCCGCUCCCCGAGUGGUGGGGACGCUUAUUGGGCCUAAAGCAUCCGUAGCCGGCUGGAUAAGUCCCCUGUUAAAUCCAGCGAUUCAAUCGCUGGACCGCGGGGGAUACUGUCCAGCUAGGGGGCGGGAGAGGCCGGCGGUAUUCCCGGGGUAGGGGUGAAAUCUUAUAAUCCCGGGAGGACCACCAGUGGCGAAGGC
rnacentral:rRNA from 1 species